GUCUAAGAAGACGCAGAAAAGAAAAUUCCAAUUUUAGUGCUGAGUUGCUUCCCGUGACAUGUGGUAACUUGAAGGGAGUGUUACACAAGGAUAAAUUCAAACAAGGGAUAUCUGUGAAGUCCAUACAGUGUCAGAAUGGAAACUGGUUCACACCCUCGGAAUUUGAAAUGAUGGGAGGCUAUGGAAAGUCAAAGAACUGGAAACUGAGCCUGGGCUGCCAUAAUUGGCCCCUGAAACUCCUGAUCCAGAGAAAUUUUCUACCCAAUCCUCCACGGAUACAUCACAAAAGAAAAGAG